AACGAACGCUGGCGGCAUGCCUAACACAUGCAAGUCGAACGAGACCUUCGGGUCUAGUGGCGCACGGGUGCGUAACGCGUGGGAACCUGCCCUUAGGUUCGGAAUAACUCCCCGAAAGGGGUGCUAAUACCGGAUAAUGUCUUAGGACCAAAGAUUUAUCGCCUUUGGAUGGGCCCGCGUUGGAUUAGCUAGUUGGUAGGGUAAAAGCCUACCAAGGCGACGAUCCAUAGCUGGUCUGAGAGGAUGAUCAGCCACACUGGGACUGAGACACGGCCCAGACUCCUCCGGGAGGCAGCAGUGGGGAAUAUUGCACAAUGGGCGAAGGCCUGAUCCAGCAAUGCCGCGUGAGUGAUGAAGGCCUUAGGGUUGUAAAGCUCUUUUACCCGGGAUGAUAAUGACAGUACCGGGAGAAUAAGCCCCGGCUAACUCCGUG
rnacentral:rRNA from 1 species